UGGGGAAUAUUGGACAAUGGGCGCAAGCCUGAUCCAGCCAUGCCGCGUGCAGGAUGACGGUCCUAUGGAUUGUAAACUGCUUUUGUACAGGAAGAAACAGUUCUACGUGUAGAACCUUGACGGUACUGUAAGAAUAAGGAUCGGCUAACUCCGUGCCAGCAGCCGCGGUAAUACGGAGGAUCCAAGCGUUAUCCGGAAUCAUUGGGUUUAAAGGGUCCGUAGGCGGUUAGAUAAGUCAGUGGUGAAAGCCCAUCGCUCAACGGUGGAACGGCCAUUGAUACUGUCUGACUUGAAUUAUUAGGAAGUAACUAGAAUAUGUAGUGUAGCGGUGAAAUGCUUAGAGAUUACAUGGAAUACCAAUUGCGAAGGCAGGUUACUACUAAUGGAUUGACGCUGAUGGACGAAAGCGUGGGUAGCGAACAGGAUUAGAUACCCCGGUAGUCCCUGAGCGGGCUGGCAAGGCGCAU
rnacentral:rRNA from 1 species